UCUCUCUCACUCCGUCUCUCCUUUCUCUUUCUCUGUCUUGCCCUUACUCUCUCUUGCUCUCUCUCACUCCAUCUCUCCCUUCCCUUUCUCUGUAUUGCCCUUACUCUCUGUUUCUCUCACUCCAUCUCUCCCUUCUCUUUCUCUGUCUUGCCCUUACUCUCUGUUUCUCUCACUCCAUCUCUCCCUUCCCUUUCUCUUUCUCUGUCUUGCUCUUACUCUCUCUUGCUCUCUCUCGCUCCAUCUCUCCCUUCCCUUUCUCUUUCUCGGUCUUGCUCUUACUCUCUGUUUCUCUCGCUCUCUCACAAAAUGUCCCUCUUUCACUCUCUCUCCCUAACAUUCGGUUUCUCUUACUUUCUCAUUAUCUCUCCUUUACUCUGUCUCUUACUCACUAGUACUCCCUCUCUUGCUGUCUCUCUCACUAACAUUUGGUCUCUUUCAGUUUAUCUCUUGUCUCCCUUACAUCUCUCCCCUCUCAUUCUUUGUCUCUUGCUUACUUUCUGUUUCUCUGGCGUUCUUACACUAUCCCUCCCCUUCGCGCUCUGUCUAUCUCCCUUACAUUCGAUUUAUCUCACUCACUCACUCUCUCUCUCUCUCUCUCUCUCUCUCUCUCUCUCUCUCUCUCUCUCUCUCCACUCUUUAUGUCUCUAUUUUCCUUUCUGUGACUCUAACUCUCCUUUUCUCGGUCUCUUCCCUAUGGCUCUCUCCCUUCUUUUGUUGUCUCUCUAGCACAUUUGCUCUUUCUUCCUCCCUUUCUCUCAGUCUAUUUUCUUUCUUCUUCACUCCCUCCCUUAUUCCUUUCUGACUUCCCGCUUGCUCUAUUCCCUUUCUCCCGCAAUCCCUCUAUCACUCUAUCUAGUUCUGAAUCCCCAUAUCCCCUCUUUCUCUCUCUCUUUAUCCCCCCCUCUCUCUCUAUCCCCUGCUUCUCUCUCUCUCUCUCUCUCUCUCUCUCUCUCUCUCUCUCUCUCUAUCCCCUGCCUCUCUCUCUCACUCACUCAUUCUCUCUUUCUCUCUCACCCUCUCUCUCUUCCCCUCCUUCUCUCGCCAGGCAACAGAAUACAGUGGCCUGUGUCCAUCCUCUGAGCGUCAGGCAGGGGGAGACAGGGAGACGAGCAGGUGAAUGGGCGCGUGGCUCCCCCCCCCGACGCAGAAGAAAUAUCAACCCAAGCAGAGAAGCACGAGAACUUCACUCAACUUUCUAGAGUUUUCCCAGACAGACCUCCCCCUCCGCCUCGUGUCAUUGGAGGCCAGCCGGCUUAUACCGUCCAUCGGAUACUGGAUUCCCGCCGGGUGCAGCGGUCCUGGCAGUAUCUGGUGGACUGGGAAGGCUACGGUCCCGAGGAGCGCUCCUGGAUUCCUGCCAAAGACAUACUGGACCCUGACCUCAUUCGUCAGUUCAGGGCUCUCCACCCUGAGAGAGCUGGUAGGAACGUCAGGAGCCGUUCCUAGGGGGGGAUUCUGUCAGGAUUUGGCCAGGGUUGUUCCGGUUUUUGGUCACUAGAUGCCCCCAUUGUGCCUUUUGACCUUUUGUUUUCCCUUGAUCCCCAUUAUUAUUUGCACCUGUGCCUCGUUUCCCCUGAUUGUAUUUAAACCCUUUGUUUUCCUCAGUCCUUUGCUCUGUGUUUGUAUGUUAGCACCCAGCCCUAGUACUCUGUGAACUCUUGUUGAUCCCGGUGGACUCUCUUGUGGAAUUCUGUUUUUUGUUCUUGUUUGUUUUUGAGUAUUUUUUUAGGCUUUUUGUGCUAUACCUUCCACCUUGUGGAUUUACCUUUUUGUCUUGGAGGAUUACCUUUGUUCUUGUGGAAUUCCUUUUGAAGUUGUGGAGUUACAUGUUUUCCUGAAGAACUUCAUUUUUUACUUCAUUAAAUACAUCGUCUCAAGUACUGCUGUGUCUGCCUCAUCUUCUGGGUUCUGCCAACUAUUCGUGGCUCAGUUGGUUAAGUGACUGUUUCUCACUCCGGAGACCCGGGUUCGUAACCGGGUCCU